UACAGAGGGGGCAAGCGUUGUUCGGAAUUACUGGGCGUAAAGGGCGCGUAGGCGGCCGCCUAAGUCAGACGUGAAAUCCCUCGGCUCAACCGGGGAACUGCGUCUGAUACUGGGUGGCUUGAAUCCGGGAGAGGGAUGCGGAAUUCCAGGUGUAGCGGUGAAAUGCGUAGAUAUCUGGAGGAACACCGGUGGCGAAGGCGGCGUUCUGGACUGCAACUGACACUGAGAGACGAAAGCCAGGGGAGCAAACGGG
rnacentral:rRNA from 1 species